rnacentral:rRNA from 1 species
UACGGGGGGGGGCAAGCGUUGUUCGGAAUUACUGGGCGUAAAGGGCGCGUAGGCGGCCUGCUAAGUCGGACGUGAAAUCCCCCGGCUCAACCGGGGAACUGCGUCCGAUACUGGUGGGCUCGAAUCCGGGAGAGGGAUGUGGAAUUCCAGGUGUAGCGGUGAAAUGCGUAGAUAUCUGGAGGAACACCGGUGGCGAAGGCGGCAUCCUGGACCGGCAUUGACGCUGAGGCGCGAAAGCCAGGGGAGCAAACGGG